AGAAAUAGCUCCAAAAGAUUGUGGUUAAUAUGUCAAGAAAUUUUUCUAAGAGCUUUUUGUUAAGAGUUUCAUCACUGUUUUGAGCAGCAUGAUCAUGAUGUAGAAACUUGCUUUACAUUGAUUUCAGUAGCCUUACACCGGUAAAACCAAUCGAGGAGUGUUCCAGUGGAUCUUUCAGGAGAAUAUUAUACGAAGCUAUAUUGUCCAAAAAAGGUCUGUAUGUCCUUCAGAUUAUGCUGCUCGUCAUGCACUUCUUCUUCGAUAUGAUCAUAUCACUUUGUGGUAAGAUCGAUCAUACAGAUCGCAAACCUGCCAAAUGAACCAGCAUCCUUUGGUGCUUGGGCAACUUCGCCCUAAGACACUACUUGGUGGAAGCUGACGUACUACUUUGCACCAAGGGAGAGGAAACUUCCUGGAGAUCUUGUAGCAGCUGCCGCAGGGGCUUCUCCAUGUCGAGCAGGGCUGGAAGAUGUGGACUGCCCAGCAACCUCGUUGACCACGGUACGUUCUUUUCGUUUAUUGGGUCACCAGAUAUCCAAGUGACUGCCAUCGUACAAUUUGAGUGGGUUCAAGACAUCACAGUAACUCAGAACAAAGGUAGUUCAACUCCAUCAUGUUUCAUAAGCCAAGACUCUGCAUCUCCUGUCUGUUCUCCCUGUUCUUGUGAUUUUUUUGCAACAAAUUCAACCAAAUUAGAUCGUGAGUUUGAUCCAGAAUAUGGAAGGAAAGCUAAUGUCCCACUACAUUAGCAUGCAUGUUCUGUAAGCUCUAGAUCAUGAUGAUACAUCAACUUUUUCUUUUCUUUUGUUUCUGAACAUUGGUGACUACAUCAUGAACUGUGGUUAUUAAAGAGUCUUAUCUGUACAAGGACUCUCCCAGAUUUUUCUCCAGCAAUAGCAACCGGAAUCUCAACUCUUUCUUUGAUCGAAUGCUUCUUUCCAUAACUAUCAUGCCCGAGACCUGUGUGUGAAUUCCGUCAAGACUUGGGUCUAUGUGUUGUGAAAGCAGCUCGCGAUGGUUGCGCAAUUAGCUCCCAGCUUCUGAGAUGCUCUGAAGCGAAGGACGCCAAUGGCGGCCUCUUGCCGCCACCUGCGUUCUGCUCUUUUGCCGAUCCCUCUCCUGAUUUGUUGCCUGGAACAUGUCAUGGAGUAUUGACUGCAUGAUUCUACCUGAACUCUAUUUGGAUUUUGUAGAGAAAAGACUAUACUUUCUGUUUUAAGCUCGACUCUACUUGUGUGUGUUUUUUGCUCUGUUUUAUGAUUCAGCAUAUGUAGGAAUUGAUUGAAGUAUACUACUUUGGAAUUCAUAUAUCAUGAUCGAUCACAAUAGAUGUGUACCUGAUGUGUGGCAUCUGAAUCCUCCUCUGUUUCCUCUCGAGCAGGAUCUGUACACUGAUCGUUUGUUCCAUGCUGCUGCUGCUGCUGCUGCUGUUGUUGUUGUUUUCUGAUCGAUUCAGCCUGGGUUUUCUUGAGCUUCUCAUACUUCCUUUGCCUCAGAGCCUUUGCAACUUCUGGCAAAGAAUCUGAGAUCAGAGAGCCAAGCAAGGAAUCGGGAAAUGGUAGAGAAGCAGUGCGGAUGGAACCUUGGGAGGUGAUGAGCCGGUAAACUUGGCCGAGCAGGAGCAUGUCCCU
rnacentral:lncRNA from 1 species